UAAUGAGAACAGAAAAAGGGUAGUUGUUUGCGCAACUACCCUGUGCAGAACCGUUUAAGACGGUGGCAGAAUGAAAGUUAAAAAAUA
rfam:Streptococcus equi subsp. zooepidemicus H70, complete genome